AAUAAUAUCCUUACCAGGUUGAAACACUGGUAAAGUUUCCAAUUUUAUUUCCAUUGCCCUUUUAAAUAUGUUUUCUUUAAUAAUUUUUUCUUGCUCUUUUUUCAGACCAUGAAAAAUCUAGUUUACAUAGCUGAAGUUUUAAAAGAUGUCCAAGAAAUGGACGGGGAAGUAAAAGUCUCGCUAAUUUGGCUUGUCAGGAAACUGAGGCAGCGAAUCAAUAUGGAACUAGCCAGAGCUCCCUUGAACACGACAAUUAGGACAAUGGUCUUCAAUUGGUUUGCGGCAUUAGCCCUCAAAUUCUCGAAAGAUGAGCUGCGUCGAUAAUAUUUCAUGCUCUUGCUCCGAUCGUCCGUGAGCUGACUACGACCGAAACCCACUUGGAAGAGUUACGCGGCAUUGCCAAAGAGGUCUCUGGAUAUUACAAGCAGAAAUUUGGACUUCAAGAGUAUUCGCAGUUGGUCCACAAAGUCCAGAAUCGGUUAGACAUCAAACGUGCUGAGAGAAAGAAAUCUCGCGCUCAAGAGGUAAAAUCUAUUCAUUUUCGAUUUUUGUAAUUUUUGACGUUUCUGGUCAUCAAUUCCAUUAAUUUGUUGAUAUUUUGGUGGUAAAAAAUGUCUACAAUAGAAAAGAAGUCUAAUUAAUUUUCUUGCAGCUUUACAAUUUUUGCUUCCUGAAAUCUUUCUGAAAAGCUUUCUUGAACAUCAAAAUCAAGUUUGACCUGUGAAAAAUGAUCUGUGAUCCUUUAUUGGCUGAAGAGGUGUGUCAAAACCUUUCUCGAGGAAAAACACGCCAACUCUAUAGCUUGACAUUUUUAUAGAAUAUUCUGCUGAUGGAGAACAAAAAUCAAGGAAGUUUUUGAGAAAUUGUGUCAUCUAAUUAUCGAAGGAAACAAUUGAGUAUGACAAGAAGUCUGCUACGUCACAAACGGCAAUACAUGGUUCUGCACUUUAGUCAUAGGUUUUUGUUGUUAUUUAAAUUAAAGAGCUGUCCAGAAUCUAUUGGCAAAGAACUAUAUAUUUUAAAAUUUUGGUUUGAAUUAUUAGAUCAUAUUGUCUCAAAUCAUCAACAAUACUGACCAUUGGAAUAAUUUCCAAUGCAUUUUCUAGUUGACUUCCUAGUGUUUCCAGUGGCAAUGCGUGUAUGAUCGAUUAUCGAUGUUUCCCCAUUUUGAGCUAUAUUAAACAAUCGAUUAUUAAGGUGUUGGUUGCAAACACCCGGUCAAUCAAUCCUUUUCCAUAGGUUUAAAUGGCAGAUCAAUCGAUAUAUUGCAAAGCAUGCUACGCCACGCCCUGAGUGUUUCAUAUUCUUCUAAUUGUUCUAAUCUUCAUCCAGGUCAUCAAGAAUCCAGAGAAAGCAGCCAAGAGGAAAAUCAAGAAACAACUGAGGACCAAAGAUCAGAAAAAACGAAGAAUAGAGCAAUUUAAAUCUGGAGAUCGCAAAAGGAAGAUACAGUCUGUUGAAUUUACCGAUUAAUGACUCGCUGUCUUUAGAACUAAUUUUUGGCUGUGAUUUUAUUAAGUUAAGAAGUGCCUCCUAAUGAUUGAAUGAAUUCUUCUUGGUUUGUGGUGUGCAUAGAUUUGUUUUUCAAUAAUCUUUAUCGCGCUGAUAUGGGAGGAAGCAUGUCUUACUUUCAAAGAGCUUUCUUCGCUGUUAAGCUUUUGAUCAAAAUGUAUAAAAACUAAGGCAGAUUUAAGGUCAAAAUAGAAUUUAAUAAUUUUUCUUUUAAACUGCUCAACUACAGUAGUGUAAAAGGGCAUUGAGACAGGCCAAUCUUUUUUGAAUUUUAAAAGUUUGCUUGAUUAAAUUUAGCUUAGGUGUACUUGGGAAUUAUCGUCUUCGUAAAUAAAAAAUGCUAACUCAGCAGUUUUUUAAUUAGUUGUAUUCUGUUACAAGUUUUAUGAGUCUUUCAAAAAGUUAUAUAGCUGCGUAAUAUUUACGCACUUAAUUUAAAAAAAAAUCAUUCAAGCAUGACCUUGAUGGUUUUAAAAACUUGACACUAUAUUCCUCUGUUUUCUUUUCUCGGGACUACCUGAGUACAUAUCAUAUGCUUAAUACGAAGAUAUUCAGGUUACCAAUUUUGUAUAGCUAACUCUAAAGGCCCCCGCCAUUUUGAGAAUAACAGCUGACAUAUUAGCUUUAUACACGGGGUGUAAGAGAGAUAGAGAGCUGAAAAGAGAAGUGGGGUUCUUCCCCACUUACCCCAAAAUGUUUUAAAAAAUCACGAAAAAGACCAGAACUUUUUCCUCUCGCCUGAUUUUCGUUUAUCAUAUGAUUAUUUUCAUCCCUCAAAAGAGGUCCCAAAAAAUCAAAUUUUCAAGAGCAAAAUGAAAGACUUUGAAGUUAAGUCCGGGACUCUCUCUGAUAGUGGUUCCACCUCACAUGUCUGUUACUGAAUGGACAGCGUUUAACAGAAAAGAAUCAAGCCACAUCAGCUAUUGCCAAAUUUACCUGGGCGAUUUAACUUUUUACAAGAGAACGUUUGUUUGGAUUCCUUUGAAAAUUUGAAGGAAUUUACUUCGUAAUAUGGAGAAAAUCCACUGAAAUUUGCACGAAAAUCCGCACAACGGUUCUCAUGUAAAAAAUGUAAUUGCCCAAUUAAAUUUGGCAAUAGCUGAUGUGGCUUGGUUCCUUUCUGUUUAACGCGGUCCAAAUGAUCAAUCCUAAAAUCAAGAGAUUUUUUUAUUUUUGUAGUAAACUUCUGUAAAAGUUAGCAAUGUUUAAUUUAGAAACAAGCCCUCAAUAAAGUCAGUGCAUAGUAAUUUUAUGAUGAAAAAGAAGGAGUAAAAUUGAUAAUGUUUUAUUACUCUCAUAUAUAUACAACAAACAAGUAACAUAUGGUAAUAUCUACAAUAUCAUGAAAUAUCGAAAGAAUAGUAAGAAACUAGGUUGUGCUUUUCAAAGCCAAGGCAAAGAAAUGAAACGAGAAACAGCUACAAACUAACCUGAGCUAUUGAAGGUGGUUUCAGACUAAAAUGACAAGCAGUUGGACGUAUUUAUGCUAAAAGGAACUAUGCUACAUGCAAUCCCUAUGCACAUAGUUCCUUUUAGCGUAAAUAUGUUCAGUUGAGAGAAGUGGGCAACUCAAGGCCCUUUAAAGGAUAGAUGACAACAAGAUAGAAUAUGAGUUAUACACUUUAACUGUUACUAGGUAUCCUGUUAUUACGUCAACAAGAUAAGAAUCUCAUGAAAUUUUCCUUAUUAAAUUGAUCCUUUGAAUU
rnacentral:lncRNA from 1 species